AAAGCAGUGUUUAGUUGUCAUCUAGAUAAUCCUGAACUAUAUUCUCUAUCAUUGAUAAUACUCGGACAUCAGUUGUGAAUGGCUAGAUGAAAUCCGUGGACAAUGUUUUUAACUUUUGACCGCCGUUCAUGAAAUCCAAUUAUCAUUUUUAAUACUGUUUAACAUACUUUGAUAUAUAUACGGAAACAGUAUCAAUGAUUUAUCAAAACCAAAAUCCGGAUUUAGCGAUGGCUUACAAUCCCUUCUUGUUUCCCAGGCCUUCGGACUAUACUUCACUGUUACAGCAGCACUAUUUACCCGGAAUGGCCGUUCCUGGACCCCCCGGGAUCCCUGCGUCCAUUCUGCCGAAGCUUCAACAAUCUGUGGGGCGUUCCCCGCUUUCUCCGGGAGAACUACUCCACCCAUUUCAUCCCCGACCCCUCAGGACCAUGGAACCCGAACCCGACGCCCAGGAUGAUCCUAAAGUGGAAAUAGAGUCCAAGGAACUCUGGGAACAAUUUCAUAAUCUCGGAACCGAAAUGGUUAUCACAAAAUCCGGAAGACGAAUGUUUCCUCCUUACAAAGUGCGCGUUUCUGGUCUGGAUAAGAGAGCAAAAUAUAUUUUGUUAAUGGACAUAGUGGCAGUUGACGACUGCAGAUACAAAUUUCAUAACAGCCGCUGGAUGGUGGCGGGAAAAGCCGACCCAGAGAUGCCCAAACGGAUGUACAUCCACCCCGACUCCCCAAGCACUGGGGAACAAUGGAUGCAGAAAGUGGUCUCCUUCCAUAAGCUGAAACUGACCAAUAACAUUUCGGACAAGCACGGCUAUGUAAGUAUUACGAUUCUCAAUUCAAUGCACAAGUACCAGCCCCGUUUUCAUCUCGUUCGAGCUAACGACAUUCUCAAGCUUCCAUAUUCAGCGUUCCGGACGUACGUCUUUAAAGAAACGGAAUUCAUCGCAGUCACUGCUUACCAGAACGAGAAGAUUACACAGCUGAAGAUUGACAACAAUCCUUUCGCAAAAGGAUUCAGAGAUUCUGGGAGUGGAAAAAGAGGAAAAAAAAAGACUUCUAAUGAGCUCAAUUCACCAAUCCAGUACAGCCUAUACAGACGAGGGGUCCCGAGUAGACGAUCCCCAAAGUGACGAAGAUGACGAAAUCUGUGUGGACGAAACUGAUGACGUCACAGAGGACACAGUCUCCAUUCUUUCUCGAUUGCAUUCAGAUUUUAAAGCUUCAAACGCAGAAAAAUCUCUUAAAGACGUUUCGGAUCAGGAAAGUCCCGCUAAAUCUGAUACACAGACCAACUCCCAACCCCGCAGUGCUAGUUCCUCGCCGGAACCUCCGCCAAAAUCUCCGGAGGUACCAUUUAAUGUCGAAGAGAAAAACAAGGAAUCAAAACAGCGAGAAACCGGAAGUGAUUCUCCAAGAUCGAGUGAAAGAAGUUCACCGGAGCGAGAACGAUCGCCCGGAUGUAGUAGACUAUUUUCAAAAGAACACUCUAGUCCCCCAAAUGUGACAGUUGUUCAACCAUCUGUGACACAUCCUAUGUUUCCAUAUCUGUAUCCGUAUACGUCAUCAGCAUCUAGCUUUCCGUAUCCCAUGAGUCACAUGUUGUUUUCCGGAAGUUCCUCUUUGCCACAAGGUUUGCAAAUGCCAUUUUUGACUACCUCAGGACACUCCGAUUUAAGUCAUAUACCCGCUCACGCUCUAUCGUCGUUAAACCAAUUCUCACUGCAGAGUCAUCUGAUGCAGUCAAACUAUUCUAGUCUGUCUUCGUCGCUCGGCGGAAGGAACCCGACCUCACCUUCAGCCUCCAUUCCAAACUCACCUUUAGGACCCAUUUUCCCAAGCAGGUCGAAUCAAAGAUUUUCACCUUAUUCGUAUUCUCUUUCUAAAUCCCAUAGUGACAUUUCCCCAAGUUCUAGUGACAGUGGCAUCAAAUCUUCGUCUCCCCCGAGUUAUGGCGGAAUUUCCCGACCGUCUCCGAUUAGACCCCGAAGUCCCCUAUCCCAUCAUAUGACACCGAUGGCUGCUCACUCCAAACCUCAUAGCGAACUCCGAAGCAUGGAGCAGAUGCUUAAUGGACUGGACCGUAAGAAAGCACUACAUCAUGAAUCACCCAGUGUAGCUAUGGAGAAAUGAAGACUUUAUUGUUCAUAAUUGCUAGGGAAACAUAUUCGUUUUCAUGGUAGCACGGGUUCAUGAUGACGCUUGAGUUCAAUUAAGUGCAACAUGCUCCUCAACAAUGCCAGAAUAUGAGGCCUGUCAUUAGUAAUUGUCAUAAUGAUCUGGGCAGUGCCAUAGAACAAAGACAAGGGUUGGUCAGAUUUCAGAAAUUUGUCACCGCUGCUUGAUAUUUUCUGAAGAACGAUGUGCAGUCAAUAAGGCAUUAGGCCUAAAAGGCCUAUCCCUAGUGCUCACUGUCUACUGACUAAUCAAGCGGCAGGAAACAGACGAACUUUCUCAAUAAGAAGUUCUGUGAUUGGUCGGUUUGAUUUUAUGGGAAAACGUUUUUGAAUUUGAAAAAUACUUUUCUUAAAACUAAGGUGUAUUAUAUGGGGAUUUUUUUCUCUUGUAUAAUUUGAGCAAUGCGGGGAGUGUGCAAAAUGACUUUAUCUAUUGUCUAUAUGUUUUUGUGUGUGUCAACAAUGUCAUAUGUUCUCAGGUCGAACUGUCUUUCUUUUUUCACGCGUAUAACCGUUUUAAUUAUUUUACUACAGACACUUUGUUUUACGGUUUGACAGAUGUACUGUUAUCAAGUGGAAGACUUGCUUCAUUAGUUAAGUUAUUUUGGCGUGGAGUCAUUUUAUCUGUAGACACAAUCUAAGUUCCGUGCUUCUGUUUAUGGUGCUAUUUAAACUAUUUUCCUUUUGUUAUGAAUUUGUUUUAUUUUAGCAGCAAUUAAUAAAACAAAAUAUAUUAAAAAUUGAAA
rnacentral:misc_RNA from 1 species